GAUGAACGCUAGCUACAGGCUUAACACAUGCAAGUCGCGGGGCAGCAUGGGGGUUGCUUGCAAUCCCCGAUGGCGACCGGCGCACGGGUGAGUAACGCGUAUUCAACCUGCCCUUCACCACGGGAUAACCCGGCGAAAGUCGGACUAAUACCGUAUGUUGUCCAUUGACGGCAUCCGAUUUGGACGAAAGGCUUGGCGGUGAGGGAUGGGGACGCGUCCGAUUAGCCAGACGGCGGGGUAACGGCCCACCGUGGCUACGAUCGGUAGGGGUUCUGAGAGGAAGGUCCCCCACACUGGAACUGAGACACGGUCCAGACUCCUACGGGAGGCAGCAGUGAGGAAUAUUGGUCAAUGGGCGUAAGCCUGAACCAGCCAAGUAGCGUGCAGGAUGACGGCCCUAUGGGUUGUAAACUGCUUUUAUGCGGGGAUAAAGUGGCCCACGUGUGGGCUUUUGCAGGUACCGCAUGAAUAAGGACCGGCUAAUUCCGUG
rnacentral:rRNA from 1 species